rnacentral:rRNA from 1 species
UACGUAGGGAGCAAGCGUUGUCCGGAAUCAUUGGGCGUAAAGCGCGCGUAGGCGGCCCUGUAAGUCCGUUGUGAAAGUCAAAGGCUCAACCUUUGAAAGCCGAUGGAUACUGCAGGGCUAGAGUCCGGAAGAGGCGAGUGGAAUUCCUGGUGUAGCGGUGGAAUGCGCAGAUAUCAGGAGGAACACCAGUGGCGAAGGCGACUUUCUGGCCUGUUCUUGACGCUGAGGCGCGAAAGCUAGGGGAGCAAACGGG